GCGAGCAGCACUGCUGGAGUUGUAGUACUAAACGAGGCCCGUGCCUACAACUACUCCUACAAGCUAGCUAGCACCCGGAAAAGCAAGCAAGAAAGAAAGAACAAUAUGCCUGUCAAGCUUCUCCGGACGCCUACCGCUGGGCGACGCCACCACUUGCCGGUGCUGCAUCUCGUUCCCGGCCUCCUGCUUCUGCUGCUCUCGCGCUCGGCGUCGGCGUCGGCGUCGACGGUGGUCACCCGCCUGCCAGGAUUCGACGGCCCUCUCCCCUUCUACCUCGAAACCGGAUACGUGGGCGUGGAGGAGGAGACCGGGACGGAGCUCUUCUACUACUUCGUCGAGUCGGAGAGGAGCCCCGGCACGGACCCCGUCAUCCUGUGGCUCACCGGCGGGCCCGGUUGCUCGGGCUUCAGCGGCAUGGUCUUCGAAGUCGGUCCUAUAAAUUUUGUGUUAGCACCUUAUAAUGGUAGUUUGCCGCAGCUGGUCUCUAAUCCCUACUCAUGGUCGAAGAUCGCAAGCAUCAUCUUCUUGGAUUCUCCUGUCGGUUCUGGCUUCUCGUAUGCUCGUGAUCCCAAAGGUUAUGAUGUCGGGGACAUCUCGUCUUCUUCGCAAGUUGUCACAUUUCUGAAGAAGUGGUUCAGUGAUCACCCACGCUAUAUUUCAAAUCCUUUUUACCUUGGAGGAAGUUCAUAUGCUGGAAAGAUGAUUCCAGUCAUCGCACAAUACAUCUCACAAGGAAACGAACAAAGAAGGCAACCUGAGAUUAAUCUCAAGGGCUAUCUAGUUGGCAACCCUAUUACAGGCUCCGCAUUUGAUGAUUUCAACACCAAAAUACCAUAUGCUCAUGGUGUUGGAAUUAUAUCAGAUCAACUAUAUGAGGCUGCAAUGGCGAGCUGUGAUGGAGACUAUGUAACCUCAGUGACUAAAAUGUGCGCGGGGGUUCUAAAUACCAUUCAAAAACUCAUUUCUGAAGUUGACGAGGGAUAUAUCUUAGAUGAUAGAUGUGUACGUGCUGCUCCCAAACCUGUGAAGGAUGAUGCUUCAAGAAGUAGGUUUCUAUCAGAAGAACAGAUUCAGCCAACCGAAUCAUCUGCUGAUCCCACUAUCAAUUGUUUCUCAUAUCGGUACUACCUAUCUAACAUUUGGGCGAAUUACAACAGGACUAGAGAUGCUCUUAAGAUCAAGAAGGGAACCAUUGGCAAGUGGGUAAGAUGCAGCAGUGAAUUCCCCUAUACACACGACGUCCCAAGUAGCAUAGGGUACCAGUUCAACCUCACCACCAGGGGCUACCGUGCGCUUGUAUUCAGCGGAGACCAUGAUCUUUUGGUACCAUUUUUGGGAACACAUGCGUGGAUAAGAUCCUUCAACUUCUCCAUUGUUGAUAACUGGAGAGCAUGGCAUGUGGAUGGCCAGUCUGCAGGGUUAAGUCUCUCUCUUCUUGAUUUUGCCUUCCACUUUAGACCAAGUUUAAACAUUGCUAACCCUUCAAUGGAUUACAAUCCGACUGAACAUCCUCACUCGGAAAACCAGGAGUUACAUCAAUCAAAGCAUAUAAAGGACACAAUGCUACAGCAUGAUGGAAUUACCUAUACACACAUAGACCCUGGCAAAAGAGAAGUUCUAUUGCAUAUAAGUUUAGCAAAUUAGCGUUCCGUUGGGGAAGUGCAUAACCUUGUCAGCAAAAGAAUUUUGCAUGCUUCAUGUUUCAGCUAUAUGUUGGUUUUGUAUUGUCUGACUAAGGAAUACAUUUUCUUGCGCAGAUUUACAAUUGCAUAUGCAAACCAUAUGAUAUUUGCAACAGUAAAGGGUGGAGGUCAUACAGCUGUAAGCUACCGGCCUAAACAAGGAUUGGCCAUGGCUCAGCGGUGGCUUGACAAUAAGCCAUUGUGAUGUGUGCUUUCGUUGCACCCUUUUCUCGUGUUGUCGUCAAUGUUAUAAAUAUAUUGUAUGUCCUUUUUCAUCCGUUGGGACUUUGAAUAACAGUUUGGCUAAAUCUCAGUCGACUGAAAUUUAACUAAGUCUCACUUGACAAGAUUAGCCAUCCAAUU